CAGAGAUUUGAAUGAAAUACCUGAAAUAAUCUAUCGAUAAUUAUACUACUUAAUCAUAUUUAUAUAAAUUGUUACAUUUCACGAUAUAUUUUCUCGUAAACCAUUAGACCUCUCUUGUAAAAUUCAUGGAUUACGGCAAGAAUACAAAAUUUCCAACUGUACGCCCAUGGAUAUAGUUAUUCAGCACCAGUUUUUAGUCAAACCGAAAGGGUGUUUUGCAUAUAUUGGACGGAUGCCAGUUUACGCGUAGCAUAAACAAUCCCGAACUUGGACUCAAGGCUUUUUAUGUUCGUGAAAUUAGUAAAUUUAUGGAGUGUUUUGCUUCAACCACCAUGAAAUAUGUGUUUACGACCGUGAUAGAUAAAGAAUGUUCCUCCACAAGUUGAAUAAAAACUUAGAUAUAUGCGUCCUGGAGGAUAUUAUUUCCUGGAAUACUUCCUGAAUAUAUUGUUUAACUUCAACGAAGUCAAAAACUGGAAGUUUGGAAUGAUAAUAAAAAUACACAGUUGG